CUCUUUAUUUUUAGACUAUUCCGCUAUCCUGUUCGUGGUCAAAUUUACUUUCUUGUUUGAUCUCCGCAAAUUCCAUCUCUCUCCACCGAAUUCCUCUCUGUUUUUGCAUCCCUCACCCUCUCCUUCAACCCUCUGCCGCCCAAUUUCCAGCUUCUCGCUGCCGAUCUCCUUCCUUAGUCUACCAAAUGCUUCCCGAAUCGCACGACACCAUCUUUGCUCCGGAAAAAUCAUCGGACGGUCCUGAAUCAGCCGAUGACACCAUUGGCCAAGCCGCUAGUUCUUCAAGUAAUCAAGGUUUUCUUCAGUUUCCCAAUAAAGAUAUCAUUAGACGAAUUGCAAUCAUUUCUACUGUUUCGGAACUGGCACUUUUCUCCUCAAGUUGAUUGGAUUUUGGUGUUUCUUUGAAUGACUUAGUUGCUGCGGCUUUGCCUUAUGAAGAGGCUCUUUCAAAUUGAAAGCUCACUAUGUGGAGUUCUAUGCAGAUUGGUGUGAAGUUUGUAUGGAAUUGGCUCCAGAUGCAUACAAAGUUGAGCAACAGUUUGUGGAAAUGUUUGUUCACAAGAAUCUUUUAUUGUUUGAACUCGAGGAAGGUAAAUAAAUCUUUGUUCUUCCAGGGACCAUGUGAAUUUUGUAAUGCUUAAUGUUGAUAAUACAAAGUGGGAGCAGGAGCUUGAUGAGUUUGGUGUUGAGGGUAUUCCACAUUUUGCUUUUUUAUUUAGGGCAAAGAAACAAUCAUCAAGAUAUAAGAUGUUAAAGUUCGGAUGAGUUACUUGAACCUAUUUUAAACUUUAAGACUUGUUGAUGUUUAAGUAAUUUUGAUUACAAAUUUCUUUUCAUUCUCUUAAUGAUAGUUGGACAAAUUUUGUAUAAGUUAUUGAUAUAUUUUUAUUUUAUUAAAUGAUAUAUUA